rnacentral:rRNA from 1 species
AGGACGAACGCUGGCGGCGUGCCUAACACAUGCAAGUGGAGCGACGAACCAGGCUUCGGCCUGGGGCAAAGCCGCGAACGGGUGAGUAACACGUGGGUAACCUGCCUCGAUGAUUGGGACAACCCGAGGAAACUCGGGCUAAUACCGAAUGUGCCCUCCGGCCAUAAGGCUGCUGGGGAAAGGAAGCUUCGGCCUCCGCAUCGAGAUGGGCCCGCGGCCCAUUAGCUUGUUGGUGAGGUAACGGCUCACCAAGGCGACGAUGGGUAGCUGGUCUGAGAGGACGAUCAGCCACACUGGGACUGAGACACGGCCCAGACUCCUACGGGAGGCAGCAGUGGGGAAUAUUGGACAAUGGGCGCAAGCCUGAUCCAGCAAUGCCGCGUGUGUGAAGAAGGUCUUAGGAUUGUAAAGCACUUUCGACGGGGACGAUGAUGACGGUACCCGUAGAAGAAGCCCGGCUAACGUCGUGCAGCAGCCGCGGU